rnacentral:rRNA from 1 species
UCCGUAGGUGAACCUGCGGAGGGAUCAUUACAGAGUUCAUGCCCUAUAGGGUAGAUCUCCCACCCUUUGUCUUAUAUACCUCUGUUGCUCUGGCAGUUCUGCUGGUUAAGCGCCCUGCCAGAGGACCCCCAACUCUGAGAGUUAGUGUCGUCUGAGUACUAUAUAAUAGUUAAAACUUUCAACAACGGAUCUCUUGGUUCUGGCAUCGAUGAAGAACGCAGCGAAAUGCGAUAAGUAAUGUGAAUUGCAGAAUUUAGUGAAUCAUCGAAUCUUUGAACGCACAUUGCGCCCCUUGGCAUUCCGAGGGGCAUGCCUGUUCGAGCGUCAUUACAACCCUCAAGCUCUGCUUGGUGUUGGGCAUCGCCAGUCUUGGUGUGCCUUAAAAUCAGUGGCGGUGCCAUCUGGCCCUCAGCAUAGUAGUAUUUCUCUUGCUAUAGGGACCUGGUAGGUGCCUGCCAUUCAGCCCCCUAGUUAUUAUCAAGGUUGACCUCGGAUCAGGUAGGGAUACCCGCUGAACUUAAGCAUAUC